rnacentral:snRNA from 1 species
AGCCUUUCCCUGCCUUCUGGCAGGGGAGACACCAUGAUCUCGAAGGUGGUUUCCGCAGGAAAUCUAUAUUGAGCAGAUUCUUUUUGGUGUUGGGUCGUGGAACGGGAGCGUGCUCCAUCCACUCCAAGCAUUGACCUGGUAUACCAGUGCUUCCAGGACCGGUGCAAAAAAA